CUCGCCGGAAGACCAAGGGUUCCUGUCCAACGUUAAUCGGGGCAGGGUGAGUCGACCCCUAAGGCGAGGCCGAAAGGCGUAGUCGAUGGGAAACAGGUUAAUAUUCCUGUACUUGGUGUUACUGCGAAGGGGGGACGGAGAAGGCUAUGUUGGCCGGGCGACGGUUGUCCCGGUUUAAGCGUGUAGGCUGGUUUUCCAGGCAAAUCCGGAAAAUCAAGGCUGAGGCGUGAUGACGAGGCACUACGGUGCUGAAGCAACAAAUGCCCUGCUUCCAGGAAAAGCCUCUAAGCAUCAGGUAACAUCAAAUCGUACCCCAAACCGACACAGGUGGUCAGGUAGAGAAUACCAAGGCGCUUGAGAGAACUCGGGUGAAGGAACUAGGCAAAAUGGUGCCGUAACUUCGGGAGAAGGCACGCUGAUAUGUAGGUGAAGUCCCUUGCGGAUGGAGCUGAAAUCAGUCGAAGAUACCAGCUGGCUGCAACUGUUUAUUAAAAACACAGCACUGUGCAAACACGAAAGUGGACGUAUACGGUGUGACGCCUGCCCGGUGCCGGAAGGUUAAUUGAUGGGGUCAGCGCAAGCGAAGCUCUUGAUCGAAGCCCCGGUAAACGGCGGCCGUAACUAUAACGGUCCUAAGGUAGCGAAAUUCCUUGUCGGGUAAGUUCCGACCUGCACGAAUGGCGUAAUGAUGGCCAGGCUGUCUCCACCCGAGACUCAGUGAAAUUGAACUCGCUGUGAAGAUGCAGUGUACCCGCGGCAAGACGGAAAGACCCCGUGAACCUUUACUAUAGCUUGACACUGAACAUUGAGCCUUGAUGUGUAGGAUAGGUGGGAGGCUUUGAAGUGUGGACGCCAGUCUGCAUGGAGCCGGCCUUGAAAUACCACCCUUUAAUGUUUGAUGUUCUAACGUGGACCCGUGAUCCGGGUUGCGGACAGUGUCUGGUGGGUAGUUUGACUGGGGCGGUCUCCUCCUAAAGAGUAACGGAGGAGCACGAAGGUUGGCUAAUCCUGGUCGGACAUCAGGAGGUUAGUGCAAUGGCAUAAGCCAGCUUGACUGCGAGCGUGACGGCGCGAGCAGGUGCGAAAGCAGGUCAUAGUGAUCCGGUGGUUCUGAAUGGAAGGGCCAUCGCUCAACGGAUAAAAGGUACUCCGGGGAUAACAGGCUGAUACCGCCCAAGAGUUCAUAUCGACGGCGGUGUUUGGCACCUCGAUGUCGGCUCAUCACAUCCUGGGGCUGAAGUAGGUCCCAAGGGUAUGGCUGUUCGCCAUUUAAAGUGGUACGCGAGCUGGGUUUAGAACGUCGUGAGACAGUUCGGUCCCUAUCUGCCGUGGGCGCUGGAGAACUGAGGGGGGCUGCUCCUAGUACGAGAGGACCGGAGUGGACGCAUCACUGGUGUUCGGGUUGUCAUGCCAAUGGCACUGCCCGGUAGCUAAAUGCGGAAGAGAUAAGUGCUGAAAGCAUCUAAGCACGAAACUUGCCCCGAGAUGAGUUCUCCCUGACCCUUUAAGGGUCCUGAAGGAACGUUGAAGACGACGACGUUGAUAGGCCGGGUGUGUAAGCGCAGCGAUGCGUUGAGCUAACCGGUACUAAUGAACCGUGAGG
rnacentral:rRNA from 1 species